UGAUGUCAAUAUCAAAAGUAUAAGUUGUUAUCUUGUAGACGCAGAAAUAAAAAUAUAAUAAUUGUAUGUUUAAGACAAAAGUUAUAUCUGUGCCAGGAAUCUAAUAUUAAUCACUCUACUAGAACUUUAAUAAAAGUGCUCUGUGGUGUGAUUGAAAAGUGAAUAAUUUGGUAAUAACAUUUAGUGCAUAUAAUACAGCUCAAGGAUAAAAAUAUGGCGUUCGAUGAAAAAAGUGCAAUAGCUCCUGUGAUUAUAGAAGAAUUAGAUGAAAAUGCCUUAAAUAACAUGAAUGUUGAUAUCACAGAAUUUAUUGAAGCACAAGCUUUAGAAAUAGAAGAUGUGCCACAAAAUGUCAUAUCAGAUGUUUAUUCGAGACAAAGUACUUCUGCUAUGGAUAUUACCACAGAAGAAGAAGAUCAUGAUUUAUUAAUAACUGCAGAUGAAGAGGAUCAAUUAACAAAGCAGUUUUUAAAUGGAGAGUUGACAUUCUCUGAAUAUUCUUCUAGAAUGGAUCAAGAUGUAGAUUUAGAAACUGCAGAAUUUGAUUUUUCUAGAAAUGAUUUUGAGAAUGAAGAAGUAGAAACAAAUAAAAUAAUUCAGUCUAAAACGUCAAAGCCACAAAGUGGAGGACAAAUACGUCAUAAACGGAAAAAAAGGACACUUCCACCUGUUCUGCAAGGUCUUAUGGGUGAAGCAAAUUUAAGAUAUGCUAGAGGAGAUACAGAAUUAGCUGCUCAGAUAUGUAUGGAAAUAAUCAGACAAGUACCAAGUGCUCCAGAACCAUUUCAUACAUUAGCAAUGAUAUAUGAAACAGAUCAGCCAGAAAAGUCAUUACAGUUUGCUUUGAUAGCAGCACAUCUUAGUCCAAAAGAUGCAGAUCAGUGGGUAAGAUUGGCUAAUAUGUCUCUUGAAGGUGGAGACAUAAAACAAGCUAUAACAUGUUAUAAUAAAGCAAUUCAGGCAAAUCCAAAAGAUGUAACUUUAUAUGAAACAAGAGCUCAACUUUUAGAUCGUAAUGGAGAUAAAAGAGCUUAUUUAAAAGGAUUUUUGAAGUUAGUUCAUCAAUUAGAACCUGAAGAUGGUAUAAACAUAAUUAAGUAUGCUAAAAUGUUAGCCAAACGAUACAUGGAAGAGAACAAUAAUGAACAAGCACUAGAAGCAAUGGAAAAUAUUUUUUCAAAAUGUCCUACUUUCAUUACUCUAGAAGAAGUUAAUAUCAUGACUGAAAUUCUAAUAGCACUAAAAAAGUUUAAAAGAAGUUUAAAUAUUUUAACCACAUACACCAGCAUUUGGGUAAAAUAUAAAACCAUUGAUGGUACUCAAGACUCUGAUUUAAUAAUAAAAAGAUUUGGAAAUGAAAAAAAAGAAGAAUUGGAAGAUAGCAAUAUAUGUGAAAUAGAAUCUUGUGGAGUGCCAGAUAAUGUUGUUGUUGACUUGAAGGCAAAAUUUCUUGUAACACUUAUUGAAUUGAAUCAGAUGAAAUUAGCUGAGAAUUUUUUACCCAACUUUUAUUUAAAUGAAAAUCCAGAAAUUUCUGGCGAUCUCUUCUUAGAUAUAGCUGAAGCUUUAAUGGGGAAAAAAGAAUUUAAACACGCUUUAAUGCUAUUAGAACCAUUAGUCAAUAGUAAUAAUUAUAGUUUAGCUGCAGUAUGGUUACGACAUGCGGAAUGUUGGGUUGGUUGCAAAGACUUAAAAAAAGCAAUAAAAUCAUAUGAAGUUGUUAGACAAUUAUCAUCUCAACAUUUAGGUGCAAGAACAGCAUUAGCUAAGCUGUAUAAAUUAAAAGGUCAAUAUAACAAAGCAAUAGAAGUUCUUAAUCAAGAUCCAGAGUCAGAUACUUUAGAUCCACAAGUAAUAUAUCAAAGGACAUUACUCCUUUUCAAAGUAAAAAAGUAUGAUGAAUAUUUUCAAUCUGGUAUGUUACUUUUCUCUAGACAUUGCGCAAACAUAAGAAACAAAGCUGAAUUAAAUGCAUUAACUAGAGCAUAUGCAGUACGACAACGUUUGGAAACAUUGCAACUUCAUCGACUAUCCCGUGGCGAAAAACUUGAAGAAGAAAAUGCACCAUCAUUUCUAAAUAAUACGGAAUUAAGUGAGAAGAAAGAAUUUCUUUUACUUUUGCAAAUGUGUAAACUGGCUUGUACAUUAAAAAAGUAUGGAUUACUACAAAGAAUCUGUUCUAGUGCUUUAACAUCUAAAAGAUUUGAGAAAAGGAAUUCUCAUAUCAUGUUUUUAUGCUUACUUUCUUGUAUUUAUAACAAUGAUUCUUAUCAUGGAUAUAAUAUCGUACGACAAUUAAUACGCGUUUGUCAGGAACCAAAUUCUUGGAAUUUAUUAAAUAUUAUUGUGCAAAAAGCAGAAGAUUGUAGACACAAUAGAUUUAUCAUGCGGCUCCUUGGAAGGGAAGAUGUGUUUUCAUACUUGCAUAUAAUGCAUGCAAACAACUGUCUUAUUUCGGGAACAUAUAAAUAUGCUCUUAAUGAUUAUAUUUCUCUUUUCAAAGUAGUACCCAGUGCCUUAUUGGCAUUACUUAUUGGUGUAACUUUAUUACAAAUGGCAUGCCAGAAAUUUUCUGCUAAGAAGAAUCAACUUGUAAGUCAAGCUAUUGCUUUCUUGAAGAAAUAUUCUCAACUCCGUAACGAAGAUGGUGAACAAGAAACAUAUUACAAUAUGGGUCGUGCAUUUCAUCAAAUUGGUUUAUUACCAGCAGCUGUACAAUUUUAUAAAUUAGUACUUGAUAAGGACCCUGGAGAUUUAGUUAAAAAGAAUUCAUAUCUUUUAGAUUUAAGAAAAGAAGCUGCCUUUAAUCUACAUCUUAUUUAUCUACAGUCUGAAAACUAUUUAUUAGCAAGAAUGUAUCUUGAAAAUUAUAUUACGAUUUAAUUUAAGAAAGUUAUUUACAGUAUAUGAUUAUUACUAUAUAUGAUUUAUAAACUUAUGUUAUGUUGUAAAUAAAGAUGAGUAAAAUGAAUGGAACAUUAGCUAGUAAAAUUGAAUUUGUGGAAUUGUGCGGUAUAUUCGAGAAAAUCUCUAAAACAGAUACUAGGAAAUCACGAAUAUCUAGGAAAGCUGAUAUUUUGGAGCAGUUCUUUCAGAAAUGUCGUAAUA